CCUACGGGCGGCAGCAGUGAGGAAUAUUGGUCAAUGGCCGGAAGGCUGAACCAGCCAUGCCGCGUGAAGGUCAGUGCCCUAUGGGCGUUAAACUUCUUUUGUGCGGGAGCAAUAAUGGUCACGUGUGGCCAGACGAGAGUACCGUACGAAUAAGCAUCGGCUAACUCCGUGCCAGCAGCCGCGGUAAUACGGGGGAUGCAAGCGUUAUCCGGAUAUAUUGGGUUUAAAGGGUGCGUAGGCGGAAGAUCAAGUCAGCGGUAAAAAUUCGGGGCUCACCCGGGUAGUGCCGUUGAUAUUGAUGUGCUUGAGUGGGCGUGAAGUAUGCGGAAUGCGUGGUGUAGCGGUGAAAUGCAUAGAUAUCACGCAGAACGCCGAUUGCGAAGGCAGCACACCGGCGCGCAACUGACGCUGAAGCACGAAAGCGUGGGUAUCGAACAGGAUUAGAUACCCCGGUAGUC
rnacentral:rRNA from 1 species